rnacentral:lncRNA from 1 species
AGAGAGAGAGAUACCAAGAGUUUUUUAUGCAAUUUGUGUGAAAAAAAACUUUAAAAAACUCAUGUAAACAAUAGAGAUGUGAACAUGUGUAUGUAGCUCUGUCAAAAAUACAAAAUAAAUGACAAUAUUAAAGAGCAGUAGAGUUGUAAACUAUAUAAAUUAAAAAUGAAUGAAUGAAUGAAUGAAUGAAUUACAUUUUUUUACUUAAUAUUUAUGUCAUUUUUCUGUCUUUGUGAACAAGAUUUUAAAACAAGUUUAUCACUACUUUCUUUUUUU